rnacentral:misc_RNA from 1 species
CGCACCUUGCGCUCCUUGGUAUUCCGAGGAGCAUGCCUGUUUGAGUGUCAUGAAAUCAUCAACUUCAACAUGUUUUUGUGUUGAAGCUUGGACUUGGGGACUGUUGAUAGACUUUUGUAUGUUGACUUCCCUUGAAUGCAUUAGCUGGAGUGUGGACUUUGCAGCAUAUAUGCGGUGUGAUAUUGUCGUCACUGUGUAGCUCGAGUCUUGUCCGGCUUCUAAAGGUCUUUUUUUAAAAGACAAGCUUGAUCCAUUAGGCCUCAAAUCAGGUAGGACUACCCGCUGAACUUAA